rnacentral:lncRNA from 1 species
GAGGGUGUUAAGGUUGAGAGGAGUGAUGAAAUUUGCAUUAGGUAGUAUUAUUUUGUCAGGAGUCUGAUAUAUAGAUUAUUGUAAAGGAAUUAAAUACAUAGAGGCCCAGUUUUUAAAAAAUUAAUUACGUUUCCAAACUUCCAUUACAAGCAAGGUCUUGGGGAUUUGUCAUUAAUGAUAGACUCUACAUUUUAUAUGCUUUUUAAGAAAGGGCUCAGUGUCGAUCCAGGGUCCCAGUGCCCAGUCAUUUCACUUUUGUCACUUCUAGGCUGCUGUGCUUGCCCAUGGUGAGGGCACUGAUGCACUUGUGUC